AGAAAACACCCCACUGGAAGCCGCCCUCCGGCCGCGCACGUUUGCUGGGAAGGUUGUGUGACGGCAGGUUUACUGUGAGGUUUCACUGACACCGAAGCUGGGGACUCAGGCAGCAAACUUGUCACUGAGCACUUCUCGCUGCGCCUUAACCAUCUUCAUGUUUUCUCAGGCCUGCUUCUGGCACUUUCUGAAGAUGGAAAAAACACCGCCUCACUUCUGAUAGAACCGAAAGGUCCUGUGUGCCCUACUCACUCCCAACCCUGCACCCUCCCCGAUGGGGUUUUCUGAGGCAUAGAUGAUAGAUGUAUGCCCCCAUCGCUGCGGCCUCCUGAUGACCAUGCAAGAUCCCGGGGCUGAUAUCGCACGGGCUAACUCUCCAAGCCUUUGCUUUCUCUUGGACACAUCAAGUUCAAAUGCUAGAGUUCUUCAGGAACAAGGACUCCCAACUGGAGUUAAUUGCUGUCGGACACCAUUAGUUCUCUCAGGCAAUGUGACAAGACUCUUGAAAAUUUGUGGGAAGUCCAUUAUGAUUCACUCUGACUCACUCAUAGAUUGUAAUAAGAUCUCUGACUCU